rnacentral:rRNA from 1 species
UUUCGAAUCAUUCACAAUGGGCGAAAGCCUGAUGGUGCGACGCCGCGUGGGGGACGAAGGUCUUCGGAUUGUAAACCCCUGUCACCGGGGAAGAAACGCUAUGUUUUAAUAGAUCAUAGCCUGACUUAACCCGGAGAGGAAGCAGUGGCUAACUCUGUGCCAGCAGCCGCGGUAAUACAGAGACUGCAAGCGUUAUUCGGAUUCACUGGGCGUAAAGGGUGCGCAGGCGGCCGUGUGUGUCAGGUGUGAAAGCCCGGGGCUUAACCCCGGAAUUGCGCCUGAAACUACAUGGCUAGAGCAUUGGAGAGGGUAGCGGAAUUCACGGUGUAGCAGUGAAAUGCGUAGAUAUCGUGAGGAACACCAGAGGCGAAGGCGGCUACCUGGACAAUUGCUGACGCUCAGGCACGAAAGCGUGGGGAGCAAAAGG